GCCCGCUCAGAAACUACAAAGAAGUUAGACGGGGCCCGGCACAAGACGGUGGAGCAUGGUGGUUUAAUUUCGAUGAUACGCGAGGAACCGUUACCUGGGCUCAAAUGUAUGUUGACGUAUUCUGAAAGGGAUACUUCUUCGGACAAUAUACAAGGUGCUGCAUGGUUGUCGUCAGCUCGUGCCGUGAGGUGUCGGGUUAAGUCCCAUAACGAGCGCAACCCCUAUCAUUAGUUGCCAUCAGGUCAAGCUGGGGACUCUAAUGAAACUGCCUACGCAAGUAGUGAGGAAGGUGGGGAUGACGUCAAAUCAGCACGGCCCUUACGUCCAGGGCUACACACGUGCUACAAUGGCCGGUACAAAGGGCAGCUACCUGGUGACAGGAUGCUAAUCUCAAAGGCCGGUCUCAGUUCGGAUCGGAGUCUGCAACCCGACUCCGUGAAGCUGGAAUCGCUAGUAAUCGCGCAUCAGCCAUGGCGCGGUGAAUACGUUCCCGGGCCUU
rnacentral:rRNA from 1 species